rnacentral:misc_RNA from 1 species
CCGAGUUUACAACUCCCAAACCCAAUGUGAACGUUACCAAACUGUUGCCUCGGCGGGGUCACGCCCCGGGUGCGUAAAAGCCCCGGAACCAGGCGCCCGCCGGAGGAACCAACCAAACUCUUUCUGUAGUCCCCUCGCGGACGUAUUUCUUACAGCUCUGAGUAAAAAUUCAAAAUGAAUCA